GGCUUAAGCAUUUUUUGACAUGUGGUUCAAAUCUGAAUAAGUUGUUGGAUCAGUAGAAUGCUUGAGAUGUUACGUAAUGAUAUCAGAGCCACUUCUGAAGAUACUAUCGUAUGGAAUUAUGUUGGAACAACUGUACAUCCUGAUAAUAUACCCUCGAUCCGAUAGAGGGAGGUUGACCAUCGAAGAUAGUGACAGUGGUGUGAUAAGCUUGUCUCCGAAGUCUCACAUGGAUGUGUACUGAAAAAAGAUACUGAAAUCAAAGUGGAUCUUGACGAGGACGUUAAAAAUUUAAAUGGAAAAAAUUAUGAUAGUUUCACAUCGAUUAUGGAACUGAUGAAUGAUCGAUAUAUAAUAACUUAAGUAGUCUAUUACUAAUAAUUUGGACUUAAGUAUUUUUGGACCACGUAGUUUAGAUCUGAUUAAGUUGUUGGAUUAGUAGACUGUUUGGGACGUUACAAAAUGAAUAGAAAUUUUUUUUUCAAAAAAAAUAGAAUCCAUUAUUUUGAUAAGUCUAGAAAAAGCCAUCGAGAUAAAAUAAAGAUGAACAAAUAAACAAAAACACAUACGGAUUAUAUAUUUAACUUUCUGAUUUUUGCCAAAGUAAAAAGAGAAACAAUAAUAUUCUAGUCAAUUUGACAGAUAAAAUUUUAAAUGGUAAUAUUCCUUUCUCAUCCAAUAAUAUAAUAUAGCUUAUCAAGGUGCACUUCAAUCAUGCAAGCGGGCAAUCAUUAUAAGAGAAAAUACAGGCUUAGACUGACAGCUAUUGCAAGGAAUGCUGAGAAUUAUGUUCUUCUUUGUAUUAGAGGCCUCUCAUUCAUGAAACCCAGGAAAACGUAGGGAAAUAGUAAUAAAUGCAUCGAGUAAAAAACUACUGGCUUGCUGGUUGGGCGAGAAAGAAAUUUGAUAAAUAAGAAUUGAGAGCCACCACAUGCCAUAGCACCGAGAGUGAACCUAGUUGAGAUACGACAACUUCAAAAAUCCUCUGAAAACAAAAGACAAUUUAUAUACUAAAUUUUAGUUGAGAUUUUCAAUGUUUUCAUUUCCACCGCCAGCCUCAAAACUUAAAAAGAUUAACUAAAUAAAUAUAAUAGAAAGAUAAAAGCGCACUACCAAACAAACACUAGCAUCUGUACACAGGCUAACUGAAAAUAAGCUACAUUUGUGGACAAAGGCAAUCCCUAAAAACUUUCUUUGGACAGAGAGACAUCAACCUAUCUCACAAUGCACACUAACCACUGAAAUCAAGACCAUCUUAUGCCCCUUCAUAGCUAACCUGAAAUGUUACUUCAUUAACUUUAAUCUACCGCUUAAUCUGAUAUCCUCAAAAUGUUCAUAUUUUAUGUUGGCUAUCAUCAAAAAGAUAUAAAAUCUUGACCCAUAUUAGUAAAUUCCAAGACAAUGACAUUAAAACACAAAACAGAAGAUUUGCAAUUGAGCCUGCUCCUUCCCUGCUUGUUUGCUCCCUUCCUUGAUUUGAGAGCUAUUCCAGCUGCCCCUGUUCCCAUGAAUAUCAUGGGGAAGAGAUGCAGGGAAUUUGGCGGGUGCUUUCACUCUCCUUCUCAAUAUUUCAUAAGUCAACAGAUCUAGUUGCAUGCAGAUCACAAGAUAGAACAGUAAGACAAACUUAAGAAGACUUUUCCAACAAUCAUGCAGGUCGCUCAUUUUUUUGGUUUAACUUCCAUAUAGUGUUUGCUCUUAAAUUUAUGAUGGAAUUUGAUAAAAACACUCCUGUGAUACAGAAGUCCAGUCACACUUAUUCACCUAAUUUGCAUUAGGCAAAUAAAUUAUGGUCCAAAAUUUCCCUCAAGCUUCAUCGCUUUUACACUGCUAACGUACUACAGUUUCUAAUGGAACCUCACAAAAACCUUAAAGCUUCACCUCUUCUCGUCAUAUCUAGCAAAUUGUGUGUUGGCCAUUCAUCAGAACCUUAUCACAAAAAUCGUCUGUUGGAGAUCCAAUGUCUGAACAACCAAUGAAAGAAUCGAUCUUUUUACCCUUUAAUGACUCACAUGAUGCAUUUCAUGGACACUUGAAAUACCACAAGUUGUACAAGCUUGUUGAGCUAAUAAUUCUUAAUAUUUGUUGUCACAUCUAAACACCCAUUAGAAAAAAAAUUCAGCAUCCAAAUGAGAUGAUUGCAUUCUUUGUCUAUCCUAUCCUGCAUCCAAAUCAGAUGACUGCUUUCUUUGCUUAUCCUACACAAACCUGAACUUGCAUACCAUCUGUUGAAAAUUAGAGGAUUUCAAGAAAAAAGGAUCGAACACAGAAACACACAAAGAGGCUUCACUGCAAACAGAGUUAAGUACAAUUGAUGAUGGCUAGUUUAGAGAUUUGACCGACAAACAUAACAAUAGAAGCAAAGAAUCCUCUCAUGACUGGUUGAAGAUCUAAAGAAAAUAUUGUAAUAUCUUAUAAUAGAUAUAAAUGGGAAAUAUUAGUUAAAAACUUCUAAAAGAAGUGCUUCAGACUAUGAUUUGAAACCUAGUGAUCCUAGUCAGUUGUUGGUAGAAUUUGAUCAAACUGCAAAUUGGGCCAUCAAGAUUCAUUGCUGGAUUGGACAUUAGAACUCAUGAAAAUUGUGGGCCUCAUCUUUUAGCUAUUUCAGAAUCGUUAAAUUGAGUAUAUCAUUUAAAACUAGACAACCACUUCAGUCAAAUUCAUGUUUUGGAAUGUAAAACCAGUGAUGGAAGCUUCUUGUACAAGAUUCAUUAUAGAAUUUUUCAGAUGAAGUUGAGUCAUGAAUUUCAGGCACACCAGUUAAUCUGCAAUCUCUAUUGAGGUAAGACCUUCUUACUUAAAUUACAGCUUCUACAUUUGCAGCAAGGCGAGGAGUUAUCGACAAUAAAUUACAAAUAGAACCAAAAGAAUGAGGUGAACAUGGCAAUGCAGGCAAAACUUUAGAAAGUAACAUGGCUAAGAAGGCCUCUGCUAGACGGGCCAGGUAAAUGAAUUAAGAAUAGUUAUAUCAUACUACCAAAAUUACUAAGUGCCCCUAAUUAGAGGGAACAAACACAUUAAUCAGUAUUUUCAAGAGGCUAAAUGGCUAAUUAAUUUUUUCCCCUUCGGUGGUAAGUGAUAGCACCAACACAAUAAAUGAGAUGAGAGGUUUGUAAUCUACCAGCAGUUGAGAAACAAUUCAAUGGACAAAAUUCUUAUGUGUCACAAUUAUCAAUAAGAUUUCCAAGGGAGGAUGUACAGGUACCAUAUUUAAUAUAGGGAAUGGACAGUAAAGUCAUUGGGCAAAGUUGCAGAGCAGUGUAAACUACAAACACUCAUACCAUGCUGAUUUGAAUUUGUUAAUCAUUGAUACAACUUGACUCUGACAAAAUAAUCACGUAGAGAUGAGAAACAGUUAGUUAUCAAAUAGAGGUGCAUGUGUGUUUAUGUUUUUCCAUGUCUCUCCUAUGCCAAUCAAGAACUUCAAGCAUUAUAAUUUAACAAAUCUCAUACACAAUGUGGUAAAAUAAGCAAAUAAAUAAGAAAAAUUUACCUUUGGACCCCCUCAGCUUUGCUAUUAUUGCACAUACACCACCCUGCACUUCCAAGGGCAUUAUUUAGAGCAUUCAAGUUCCUUUUCAUUUGUGAUCCACCACUUUUGUCCAUCUCCGUCAACAAGGUUUCAGUAAAAAGAUUCAUGUGACCAUCACAUGAACCUUGAAAUCUACAGGAGUAACAAUGAGGGAGGCUUCUUCAAAUUGUAUGAGCAGAGGCACCACAUAUUUGGAUGGAUAGUUGAAGGACAGUGUCACAGGCAAUGCUAUUUGGGGUACAUACAAGCUGGAAAGAUGCAUUAAUUGGAGGGUAGAGUUGGUUGAGGAAAAGAUGGAGGAACUUUUCAUGGACUACCUUGGAAGAUUAUGGCAACAGGAAAAAAAGAUGAGGAGGAUUCUGAAGGACGGAUAGGUGAGAAACACCAAGCUCCUGAUCAUAGGCAAUGGCGACGAUGUGAGAGGAGCUAGAAUGGGUGUUUGCUCGUUGCAUCAUCAGUGAUUUUGAGAGUAGACAGCUGGUAGCAGUAAUGGUGAACAAAGGGACAAAAGCAACCUAGCAAAAAGAUGACAAUGGUUGGGAAGUGCUACCAGCAAAUUCAGUGAUUGGAGGGAAGCGUUGGUCGAGGGUGUGAGAGAAUACCGAUGAGAGGAUAUAUGUAUAUGUCAUGGAUAGAGAAUGUAUAUGUAUAUUAGCCCUUGGUGUCGGCGGCAACAAUAAUGAGAAUGACAUGGACAGAGAGAGAGAAUAGGGGAGUUGCGAGAGGCACAUGCAUGGCGGGGCUAAUAAAAGAAUACCAAUGAGAGGAUAUUUUCAUUAUUUGUGAAUAACUGACCACAGCAUCAUAAGGGAGAUGGACAGAAGGGGCAGAUUGCAAUAAAAAGUAACUUAAAAACUUGAUUAAAACUGUUUAAACUGCAGGGGUAAAUGUAUGUACAUGCGAGGGUCAAAGGUAAAUUUCCCAAUAAAUAUUAAAAAAAAAAUACAGAUGAUAGCUUAUUCCAUCUCUCCUGUUACAAUUGAACCUAUUCCAGUGAUAUCAUUAUGCAAAGCUACUAAAUAGCUUGGACUAAAAACAGAGAUCAUUGUCCUAUUUAGUCCUAUUUAUAUUAGUCUUAUCACACAUCUCCCUCACACGAUAACCUAAUGAAAUCAUGGGUAAAGGCGAGAAGGAAUGCCAGCUACACACACAUGAGAGAGGAUUGCUUGAAAAAUUUUUGGUCUUCUUGUACAUUUACCAUUAGUUAUACUAUGAUGUCGCAUGACAGAACCAUGAAAAAUGACAUGCCAAAAGAAGUUAUAUAUCGAACAAGAGAUCAUAAAUGACAUUUAGCUAAUGCUUGCCAGCAGUGUUUCUUCAAUAGCUAUGACAAAACUGUGGAAGGACGGAGGAGAAAAAACGGUACCUUUUCCCCUUUCUUCAUCCACUGAUCGAAGAAGAACACUAUUCAAAAGUCCUCCUCUUUUCUUCCCCAAAAAGUUUCAAAGGUCUCAUCCCAUCGUCCAUCACCUUUAGAGGAAACAGAGAACGCAGAUAACCAAAACAGAGAGAUUCCNNN
rnacentral:lncRNA from 1 species